GACGAACGCUGGCGGCGUGCCUAAUACAUGCAAGUCGACCUGAGUUGCGUACGGGUAAGUAACCCGUGGGUAACCUGCCCAUCAGAAGGGGAUAACACUUGGAAACAGGUGCUAAUACCGUAUACUGAUGGUUGGACCCGCGGUUCAUUAGGUAGUGGGUGAGGUAACGGCUCACCAAGGCCACGAUGGAUAGCCGACCUGAGAGGGUGAUCGUCCACCUUGGGACUGAGACACGGCCCAAACUCCUCCGGGAGGCAGCAGUAGGGAAUCUUCGGCAAUGGACGAAAGUCUGACCGAGAAACGCGGCGUGAGUGAAGAAGGUUUUCGGAUCGUAAAACUCUGUUGUUAGAGAAGCGGUAUCUAACCAGAAAGCCACGGCUAACUACGUGCCAGCAGCCGCGGUAAUUC
rnacentral:rRNA from 1 species